rnacentral:rRNA from 1 species
AUUGAACGCUGGCGGCAUGCUUUACACAUGCAAGUCGAACGGUAACAGGGAGCUUGCUCCGCUGACGAGUGGCGAACGGGUGAGUAAUGCGUCGGAACGUGCCGAGUAGUGGGGGAUAACGCAUCGAAAGGUGUGCUAAUACCGCAUACGAACUGAGGUUGAAAGUGGGGGACCUUCGGGCCUCACGCUAUUCGAGCGGCCGACGUCUGAUUAGCUAGUUGGUGAGGUAAAGGCUCACCAAGGCGACGAUCAGUAGCGGGUCUGAGAGGAUGAUCCGCCACACUGGGACUGAGACACGGCCCAGACUCCUACGGGAGGCAGCAGUGGGGAAUUUUGGACAAUGGGCGCAAGCCUGAUCCAGCCAUGCCGCGUGUCUGAAGAAGGCCUUCGGGUUGUAAAGGACUUUUGUCCGGGAGCAAAUGCUGGUGGCUAACAUCCACCGGAGCUGAGAGUACCGGAAGAAUAAGCACCGGCUAACUACGUGCCAGCCGCCGCAGUAAUAC